GACUUUUCUUCAUAGUUUUUCUUUGUUUUCUUGACAAUCUCCUCUUACUAGGAUUUCUGUCUCCUUGUACUCAAAUUGCCUGUUUAUAGGCCCUCUUUCAAAAUCAAUACAAUUUUAUUUCCAAAAAGAUGCUUUUGUUUUACUUUCUCUGUUUUGUUUGCAUAAACGUCCAUUGAUUUAAUUCGAAUUAAUAUAUGCGUUUGAACAUGAUUGAUGUUUACCGAAAAUACAUGCAUAAAAUAGAAAUAGCAGUUACUAAAAGACUUUAGGAUCGAGAUUAAAG
rnacentral:lncRNA from 1 species